rnacentral:rRNA from 1 species
GACAGGGAGGGGCAAGCGUUGCUCGGAAUUACUGGGCGUAAAGGGCGCGUAGGCGGGAUGGCAAGUCGGUCGUGAAAUCCCUCGGCUCAACCGAGGAACGUCGAUCGAUACUGCUGUUCUUGAGGAUUGCAGAGGAGACUGGAAUUCCCGGUGUAGCGGUGAAAUGCGCAGAUAUCAGGAGGAACACCGGUGGCGAAGGCGGGUCUCUGGGCCGUAACUGACGCUGAGGAGCGAAAGCGUGGGGAGCGAACAGG